UACGUAGGUGGCGAGCGUUGUCCGGAUUUACUGGUCGUAAAGGGAGCGUAGGCGGGCUUUUAAGUGAGAUGUGAAAUACUCGGGCUCAACUUGAGUGCUGCAUUUCAAACUGGAAGUCUAGAGUGCAGGAGAGGAGAAUGGAAUUCCUAGUGUAGCGGUGAAAUGCGUAGAGAUUAGGAAGAACACCAGUGGCGAAGGCGAUUCUCUGGACUGUAACUGACGCUGAGGCUCGAAAGCGUGGGGAGCGAACAGG
rnacentral:rRNA from 1 species